rnacentral:rRNA from 1 species
GAUGAACGCUGGCGGCGUGCCUAAUACAUGCAAGUCGAGCGAACGGACGAGAAGCUUGCUUCUCUGAUGUUAGCGGCGGACGGGUGAGUAACACGUGGAUAACCUACCUAUAAGACUGGGAUAACUUCGGGAAACCGGAGCUAAUACCGGAUAAUAUUUUGAACCGCAUGGUUCAAAAGUGAAAGACGGUCUUGCUGUCACUUAUAGAUGGAUCCGCGCUGCAUUAGCUAGUUGGUAAGGUAACGGCUUACCAAGGCAACGAUGCAUAGCCGACCUGAGAGGGUGAUCGGCCACACUGGAACUGAGACACGGUCCAGACUCCUACGGGAGGCAGCAGUAGGGAAUCUUCCGCAAUGGGCGAAAGCCUGACGGAGCAACGCCGCGUGAGUGAUGAAGGUCUUCGGAUCGUAAAACUCUGUUAUUAGGGAAGAACAUAUGUGUAAGUAACUGUGCACAUCUUGACGGUACCUAAUCAGAAAGCCACGGCUAACUACGUGCCAGCAGCCGCGGUAAUACGUAGGUGGCAAGCGUUGUCCGGAAUUAUUGGGCGUAAAGCGCGCGUAGGCGGUUUUUUAAGUCUGAUGUGAAAGCCCACGGCUCAACCGUGGAGGGUCAUUGGAAACUGGAAAACUUGAGUGCAGAAGAGGAAAGUGGAAUUCCAUGUGUAGCGGUGAAAUGCGCAGAGAUAUGGAGGAACACCAGUGGCGAAGGCGACUUUCUGGUCUGUAACUGACGCUGAUGUGCGAAAGCGUGGGGAUCAAACAGGAUUAGAUACCCUGGUAGUCCACGCCGUAAACGAUGAGUGCUAAGUGUUAGGGGGUUUCCGCCCCUUAGUGCUGCAGCUAACGCAUUAAGCACUCCGCCUGGGGAGUACGACCGCAAGGUUGAAACUCAAAGGAAUUGACGGGGACCCGCACAAGCGGUGGAGCAUGUGGUUUAAUUCGAAGCAACGCGAAGAACCUUACCAAAUCUUGACAUCCUUUGACAACUCUAGAGAUAGAGCCUUCCCCUUCGGGGGGCAAAGUGACAGGUGGUGCAUGGUUGUCGUCAGCUCGUGUCGUGAGAUGUUGGGUUAAGUCCCGCAACGAGCGCAACCCUUAAGCUUAGUUGCCAUCAUUAAGUUGGGCACUCUAAGUUGACUGCCGGUGACAAACCGGAGGAAGGUGGGGAUGACGUCAAAUCAUCAUGCCCCUUAUGAUUUGGGCUACACACGUGCUACAAUGGACAAUACAAAGGGCAGCGAAACCGCGAGGUCAAGCAAAUCCCAUAAAGUUGUUCUCAGUUCGGAUUGUAGUCUGCAACUCGACUACAUGAAGCUGGAAUCGCUAGUAAUCGUAGAUCAGCAUGCUACGGUGAAUACGUUCCCGGGUCU